UGAGGGAUCUGCACAAAUUUCUUUUUUCCAUAAUUUUCCGAUUUUUAGUUUCAGCGUAUUAUUUAUUAUUCUUAGAUUCCGAUAAUAUUUAGACGUUUCACAAUAAUGAUGUGUACCCUUUUUCAACCUAUUACAUCUAGAACCUGCUAACAUCGCCUUCCCAUUAAACCACCGUAUAUGACUCUUCUUAUAAUAUAAUGAAGUAGUAGUAAUAAUAGUAGAGCUCAAAUCUAGGACUUUUAUUCGAGAAAAAGAAAGCAAAUGGAUUCCAGAAUGAAAAUAUCUCCUUAUAUACCCAAUGGAUGUAAGAGUGAAUAGUGUUGAAUAUGUGUUAGACGCAAUUUCAAUAAUGGGUAAGAUACUUUAAAAAAGAAGAAAAUACAUUACAGCAACUAGUUGCAUACAUUGUUUUGCUUAAUCAAGAUUAAUCAAGAUAAUAAAUCACAUAA
rnacentral:lncRNA from 1 species